CGCAGCCACGGUAAUACGUAGGUGGCAAGCGUUGUCCGGAAUUAUUGGGCGUAAAGGGCACGUAGGCGGACAUUUAAGUCAGGGGUGAAAUCCCAGAGCUCAACUCUGGAACUGCCUUUGAUACUGGGUGUCUGGAGUAUGGAAGAGGUAAGUGGAAUUCCGAGUGUAGAGGUGAAAUUCGUAGAUAUUCGGAGGAACACCAGUGGCGAAGGCGGCUUACUGGUCCAUUACUGACGUUGAGGUGCGAAAGCGUGGGGAGCAAACAGGAUUAGAUACCCCUGUAGUCCCUGUCUCUUAUACA
rnacentral:rRNA from 1 species